rnacentral:lncRNA from 1 species
GCUUCGGGGAGGUGGGCAGGAAAGGGCACGCAGCCCUAAGUGACUCUCGGCUGAGACUGCCUCUCCUCAUCCCAGCAGUAGCCAGCCAAUGAAAAAUAGGCUCAGGGGGUUCCCGAGCCAAUGGAAGCCCGCGGGCCGUGAGGACUUGCCACUAGAAACGUUUAUGGUGUCCCGGCCCGGAGACUUCUGUGUGUUUGUUAGGCGGGGCGGGGGGCGUCUUCCCAGCAGCCCAGGACAGGUGUGUGCCCAGGCGGAUUAGAGCGCCUGCUGUUGUUUUGAAGAAUGGAUGGUUACAUAACAGAUGGCCAGCUGGUCUACCUAGAAGGGCCUUACAAAGGACAGUGCCUCCGUGGGGAAGGCUCACCCUGGAUCAGACGCCGGAUUGCAGAUUUACCAUGAAUGAAGCCCUUGGAGACUGAAUCAUGUUAAAAAUUCAAAAACAACUCAGUAAAUAUUUAUUUGAAGUCCUGCUGUUCUUCAAGGCCCUGGAAUGCAGAUAUGAGAAGAGUCACUGCUGCCCAAGAGCUGACUGACUGUGGAGGAAGACCAUGCUAGCAGGUGGCUACGUUUUCUACCACCUAGCACCUGCUCCCCCUUCUCCUGGUAAUGGUAUCUGCAAAUAAUCUCCUCAGUCUGUGUGCUUUCAGUGGAACUGAAUCUACCCCUGGUUCAAGAGCUCAGGUACAGCCUCUGGCCUGGCUGCAGUGAUUAGUUUAGAGAUGGACUUGUAACCUCAUCAAAGCCCGAUAUUGUUCAGGGUAACAUACUAGAUAUAUUUUGCUAGGAUUGCCAAUAAUCAUUUAUUUAAGCUCCUUAGAUGAGGUUUCCUGUCAUUUGCAACUGAAAAAGCUCUGUGUAGCAGGUUGAAUAGUGUUCACCCCCUGCCCAAAAAAUACACUCACAUCCACCCAGAACUUUGGAACUUUAGAAUAUGAUCUUAUUUAUUUAUUUAUUUAUUUGAGACAGAGACUCACUCUGUCGCCAGGCUAGAGUGCAGUGGCAUGAUCUCAGCUCACUGCAACCUCAGCCUCCCAAGAAGCUGGGACUACAGGUAUGUGCCACCACGCCCAGCUAAUUUUUGUAUUUUUAGUAGAGACGGGGUUUCACCAUGUUGGCCAGGAUGGUCUAUCUCUUGACCUCAUGAUCUGCCCACCUCAACCUCCCAAAGUGCUGGGAUUACAGGUGUGAGCGACGGUGCCUGGCCUGAUCUUAUUUUUAAAAGAGCCUUUACAGAUGUAAUUAGUUAAGGAUCUUGAGAUGCAAUCAUUAUGGAUGUAAAUUUAGGUGGGCCCUAAAUCUAACAAUUGGUGUCCUUAUAUGAUGAGGAGAUAUCACAGACGCAAAGACACAGGGCAUAUGACCAUGUGAAGAGGAAGGCAGAGGGUAGGGCGAUGCUGCCGUAAGACAAGGAUGCCUGGGCCACCAGAGGCUAGGAAGGGGCAAGGAAGGCCCUCCCCCUUAGAGCCUUCAGGGGGAGCAUAGCUCUCCUGACACUUUGAUUUCCAACUUCUAGCCUCCAGAAUGGUGAGAGAGAAUUUUCCACUGUUUUUAAGCCAACCAGCUUGUGACACUUGGUUAAUGGCAGCCCUAGGAAACAAGUGCACUCUAACAUGUGAAAUCACUCAACAGAUAUUUAUUGGUUCCUAAUAAUGUGUCUGAAAAGGACUUAGUAUAAAAUCCAAAGAAGAGGGACAUGGAGGCUGUAGAGAGGUAUUAGAGCUGGGACAUUAGGAAGCCUAAAGAACCAUCUGUCCCACUGUCCUGCACCCCGAUGGGUGCCUCUGGAAGGGCCUGGAGAAACCAUGGAAUUUAUGUUCUUUGGGCUCCCUUUUUGUCGGGUUAAGACAGGGACUCACUCUGUCAGCCAGGCUGGAGUGCAGUGGCGCAAUCACGGCUCACUGCAGCCUCAAUCUGCCAGGCUUAAGCAAUCCUCCCAUCUCAGCCUCCCAACUAGCUGGGACUAUAGGUGCAUGCCACCACGCCCAGCUAAUUUUUGUAUUUUUGUAGAGAUAAGGUUUCAUCAUGUUGCCCAGGCUGGUCUUGAACUCCUGGGCUCAAGCCAUCCGCCCACCUCGGCCCCUCGCAGGGCUCGGAUUCCAGGCAUGAAUCCCCCCGCCCAGCCUCCCUGGGCUUUUUGCAGGUCAUUCUCCUAAUUUAUGGAUGUCCUUCCUCAGUAAGGACAUGAGCUCUGCUUGAUAUAAAUUGAAAAUAUUCGGCCGGGCACGAUGGCUCAUGCCUGUAAUCCCAGCACUUUGUGAGGCCAAGGCGGGCGAAUCACGAGGUCAGGAGUUCAAGACCAGCCUGACCAAUAUGGUGAAACCCCGUCUCUACUAAAAAUACAAAAAUUAGCCGGGCGUGGUGGUGCAUGCCUGUAAUCCCAGCUACUCGGGAGGCUGAGGAAGGAGAAUCACUUGAACCUGGGAGGCAGAGGUUGCAGUGAGCCCAGAUCACGCCACUGCACUCCAGCCUGGGUGACAGAGUGAGACUCCGUCUCAAAAAAAAAAAAAAAAAAGAAAGAAAAUAUUCCUCCCAGUUUGUUCUUUGACUUUGUUUAUAGUGAUUUUUGCCCUGCAGUUUUUUUUUUUUUUUUUUUGAGAUGGAGUCUUGCUCUUGUUGCCCAGGCUGGAGCGCAAUGGCAUGAUCUCAGCUCACUGCGACCCCUGACUCCCGGGUUCAAGCAAUUUUCCUGCCUCAGCCUGUUGAGUAGCUAGGAUUACAGGUAAUGCGCCAGCACGCCCGGCUAAUUUUAUAUUUUUAGUAGAGAUAGGGUUUCUCCAUGUUGGUCGGGCUGGUUUUGAACUCCCGACCUCACGUGAUCUGCCUGCCUUGGCCUCCCAAAGUGCUGGGAUUACAGGCGUGAACCACUGUGCCCAGCCCAAUUUCUAUUUUUCUUUUUCUUUUUUUUUGAGACGGAGUCUCGCUCUGUCACCCAGGCUGGAGUGCAGUGGUGCGAUCUCUGCUCACUGCAAGCUCCUCCUCCCAGGUUCACGUCAUUUUCCCACCUCAGUCUCCAGAGUAGCUGGGACUACAGGCGCCCGCCACCAUGCCUGGCUAAUUUUUUUUGUAUUUUUAGUAGAGACAGGGUUUCACCAUGUCAGCCAGGAUGGUCUCGAUCUCCUGACCUCGUGAUCCGUCCGCCUCGGCCUCCCAAAGUGCUGGGAUUACAGGUGUGAGCCACCACGCCCGGCCCCAAUUUCUGUUUUUUACAUAGUCAAAUUUAUCAACAUUUUUUAUGGCUUAUGGGUUUUGUUUUGGUUUUCUGAACUCUCUGCUCCUGUUCUUUUAUCUAGUACUCCAUAUUCUGGAGUAAGGCAGAGUCCUUUCAUAUUUACCUGUAUUUCCCUUACACUGCAUUUCGGUCACCUUUAUUGGUUUCCCAAAAACCAGCACCAGUAAUAAUAGCUACCAACCAUUGUGUCUAGGCAUUGUACUACUCAUUGAGUAUCAAUGAGUAUAAAGAGCUUUAUAUUCAGUAUCUUUCAUCUUCUCAGUAGCUCUGCAAGGUAGAUGAUAUUCUGUCCAUUUUACAGAUGAGGAAAGUAUGGCCCAAAGAAGUUACAUAAGUGGCCAGGCACAGUGGCUCAUGCCUGUAAACCCAGCACUUUGGGAGGCCAAGGUGGAAGGACCACUUGAGCCCAAGAGUUGGAGACCUG